rnacentral:ncRNA from 1 species
AAACGGGGUGCUGCGUGUACGCGGCUGAGAGCGGAUAAAGCGAUAUCCGAAACCCAUAACCUGAUCUGGAUAAUGCCAGCGUAGGAAUGUACA